CUUCUCGCUAUCACUUCUGGAUGGACCUGCGGUGCAUUAGCUUGUUGGUGGGGUAACGGCCUACCAAGGCGAUGAUGCAUAGCCGAGUUGAGAGACUGAUCGGCCACAAUGGGACUGAGACACGGCCCAUACUCCUACGGGAGGCAGCAGUAGGGAAUCUUCCACAAUGGGCGCAAGCCUGAUGGAGCAACACCGCGUGAGUGAAGAAGGGUUUCGGCUCGUAAAGCUCUGUUGUUAAAGAAGAACACGUAUGAGAGUAACUGUUCAUACGUUGACGGUAUUUAACCAGAAAGUCACGGCUAACUACGUGCCAGCAGCCGCGGUAAUACGUAGGUGGCAAGCGUUAUCCGGAUUUAUUGGGCGUAAAGAGAGUGCAGGCGGUUUUCUAAGUCUGAUGUGAAAGCCUUCGGCUUAACCGGAGAAGUGCAUCGGAAACUGGAUAACUUGAGUGCAGAAGAGGGUAGUGGAACUCCAUGUGUAGCGGUGGAAUGCGUAGAUAUAUGGAAGAACACCAGUGGCGAAGGCGGCUACCUGGUCUGCAACUGACGCUGAGACUCGAAAGCAUGGGUAGCGAACAGGAUUAGAUACCCUGGUAGUCCAUGCCGUAAACGAUGAGUGCUAGGUGUUGGAGGGUUUCCGCCCUUCAGUGCCGGAGCUAACGCAUUAAGCACUCCGCCUGGGGAGUACGACCGCAAGGUUGAAACUCAAAGGAAUUGACGGGGGCCCGCACAAGCGGUGGAGCAUGUGGUUUAAUUCGAAGCUACGCGAAGAACCUUACCAGGUCUUGACAUCUUGCGCCAACCCUAGAGAUAGGGCGUUUCCUUCGGGAACGCAAUGACAGGUGGUGCAUGGUCGUCGUCAGCUCGUGUCGUGA
rnacentral:rRNA from 1 species